GACGAACGCUGGCGGCGUGCCUAAUACAUGCAAGUCGAGCGGAACUGGGGGAGCUUGCUCCUUCCAGUUUAGCGGCGGACGGGUGAGUAACACGUGGGCAACCUGCCCUGCAGAUCGGGAUAACUCCGGGAAACCGGUGCUAAUACCGAAUAGUUUGGCGCCUCUCCUGAGGCGCUACGGAAAGACGGUUUCGGCUGUCACUGCAGGAUGGGCCCGCGGCGCAUUAGCUAGUUGGUGGGGUAACGGCCCACCAAGGCGACGAGGCGUAGCCGAGCUGAGAGGGUGACCGGCCACACUGGGAGUGAGACACGGCCCAGACUCCUACGGGAGGCAGCAGUAGGGAAUCUUCCACAAUGGACGAAAGUCUGACGGAGCAACGCCGCGUGAGUGACGAAGGUUUUCGGAUCGUAAAACUCUGUUGUGAGGGAAGAACACGUACCAACUAACUAUUGGUACCUUGACGGUACCUCACCAGAAAGCCACGGCUAACUACGUGCCAGCCGCCGCGGUAA
rnacentral:rRNA from 1 species